AUUGAACGCUGGUGGCAGGCCUAACACAUGCAAGUCGAGCGGAUGAAGGGAGCUUGCUCCUGGAUUCAGCGGCGGACGGGUGAGUAAUGCCUAGGAAUCUGCCUGGUAGUGGGGGAUAACGUCCGGAAACGGGCGCUAAUACCGCAUACGUCCUGAGGGAGAAAGUGGGGGAUCUUCGGACCUCACGCUAUCAGAUGAGCCUAGGUCGGAUUAGCUAGUUGGUGGGGUAAAGGCCUACCAAGGCGACGAUCCGUAACUGGUCUGAGAGGAUGAUCAGUCACACUGGAACUGAGACACGGUCCAGACUCCGACGGGAGGCAGCAGUGGGGAAUAUUGGACAAUGGGCGAAAGCCUGAUCCAGCCAUGCCGCGUGUGUGAAGAAGGUCUUCGGAUUGUAAAGCACUUUAAGUUGGGAGGAAGGGCAGUAAGUUAAUACCUUGCUGUUUUGACGUUACCAACAGAAUAAGCACCGGCUAACUUCGUG
rnacentral:rRNA from 1 species